CACAACCUGGUUGAUCCUGCCAGUAGCAUACGCUUGUCUCAAAGAUUAAGCCAUGCAUGUCUAAGUAUAAACAAAUCUAUACGUGAAACUGCGAAUGGCUCAUUAUAUCAGUUAUAGUUUAUUUGAUGGUCCUUACUACUUGGAUAACCGUAGUAAUUCUAGAGCUAAUACAUGACUCAAAGACCGACUUACGAA
rnacentral:rRNA from 1 species